GUUUGUUAUUGCAGCUACAGGAAACUAAUACACCUAUGUUUAAAUAGUUAAAACACUCUAAAAUGUAGGCUUUAGAAUGUAUUCAAACCUUGGACAUUAAAGCCAGGUUUCUGUAUCACUCUGUUGUGGGUGUUACAAGCACUGAUACAAUAUUCUUAAUCAGAACCAAAUGUAUCUAUCUGUGCAAAAAAAAAAAAAAAUGAAAUGAAGGUUUCAAAUUAAGAGAUGAAGACUGCUGGUGAGAUUUCCUUCCUUCCCAUUAGAUCGUAGAGCUAAUAUACUUCCUGCCUGCUGCCAAUAUAGAUUCAGAGAUUAAAGGCCUAUGUGGAUGUGGCUUUCUUCCCAGAGCAUCUUGAAACCAUUAUUGGUAUUCUGAGUACAGCUCCAAUCGAACCUCCCUUUAAUCUGAAAAGUGCUUUGUUGGGAGUCUACAUUUGCCAGAUCUUGUGAUAGGUAAUUUAUAUGCACCAGGGUGCACAGGGACCCAUUACUGCUGUGUCCCAGGGUGUGCAUUACCAGGAAGCUGGACAGGAAGCUAAUGAGGUGAGACUCCAAUCAGGUAUUCUGUUAUGGGAUACAGGCAUCCCAAGUGCCGAAUUAAUUGAUGCAUAAAAUCCAACUCUUCUGUCCUUUUAAACUUCCACUUUUGAAGGGGAACAUACAAUAUUUGCUUUUCUGUGUCUGACUUAUUUAACUUAACAUAUGACAGCCAGUUAUAUCCAUUUUGCCAAAAAUUUCAGCAAGAUAAUAAAUAAUCGCUUUGGGUCUAGGAAGAACA
rnacentral:lncRNA from 1 species